UACAGAGGGUGCGAGCGUUAAUCGGAAUUGCUGGGCGUAAAGCCGUGCGCAGGCGGUUAUGUAAGACAGAUGUGAAAUGCCCGGCUUAACCUGGAACUGCAUUUGUGACUGCAUGGCUAGAAUCUGGCAGAGGGGGGUAGAAUUCCACGUGUAGCAGUGAAUGCGUAGAUAUGUGGAGGAACACCGAUGGCGAACGGCAGCCCCCUGGGUCAAGAUUGCGCUCAUGCACGGAAAGCGUGGGGAGCAAACAGG
rnacentral:rRNA from 1 species